rnacentral:rRNA from 1 species
AGAGGAAGUAAAAGUCGUAACAAGGUUUCCGUAGGUGAACCUGCGGAAGGAUCAUUAUUGAAUAAACCUGAUGGACUGUUAGCUGGCUUUUCAAAGCAUGUGCUCGUCUGUCAUCUUUAUCUCUCCACCUGUGCACAUUUUGUAGUCUUGGAUACCUCUCGAGGCAACUCGGAUUUUAGGAUCGCCGUGCUGUACAAGUCGGCUUUUCUUUCAUUUCCAAGACUAUGUUUUUAUAUACACCAAAGUAUGUUUAAAGAAUGUCAUCAAUGGGAACUUGCUUCCUAUAAAAUUAUACAACUUUCAGCAACGGAUCUCUUGGCUCUCGCAUCGAUGAAGAACGCAGCGAAAUGCGAUAAGUAAUGUGAAUUGCAGAAUUCAGUGAAUCAUCGAAUCUUUGAACGCACCUUGCGCUCCUUGGUAUUCCGAGGAGCAUGCCUGUUUGAGUGUCAUUAAAUUCUCAACCUUCCAACUUUUAUUAGCUUGGUUAGGCUUGGAUGUGGGGGUUGCGGGCUUCAUUAAUGAGGUCGGCUCUCCUUAAAUGCAUUAGCGGAACUUUUGUGGACCGUCCAUUGGUGUGAUAAUUAUCUACGCCGUGGAUGUGAAACAGCUUUAUGAAGUUCUGCUUCUAAUCGUCCAUUGACUUGGACAAUUUUGACAAUUUGACCUCAAAUCAGGUAGGACUACCCGCUGAACUUAAGCAUAUC